GACGAACGCUGGCGGCGUGCUUAACACAUGCAAGUCGAACGGAAAGGCCCUGCUUUUGUGGGGUGCUCGAGUGGCGAACGGGUGAGUAACACGUGAGUAACCUGCCCUUGACUUUGGGAUAACUUCAGGAAACUGGGGCUAAUACCGGAUAGGAGCUCCUGCUGCAUGGUGGGGGUUGGAAAGUUUCGGCGGUUGGGGAUGGACUCGCGGCUUAUCAGCUUGUUGGUGGGGUAGUGGCUUACCAAGGCUUUGACGGGUAGCCGGCCUGAGAGGGUGACCGGAGGAAUUGGGACUGAGGGAAGGCGCGGACUGAUACGGGAAGCAGAGGGGGGGAGUAUGGCGGAAUGGGCGGAAGCCUGAGGCAGCGGCGCCGAGAGCGGGAUGAGGGAGGUAGGGGGGUAAACAGAGUUCGAAGGAGAAGAAACGUGAGUGAAGGUAAUGGGUAAAGAAGCAACGGCUAACUAAGUG
rnacentral:rRNA from 1 species